rnacentral:rRNA from 1 species
AACGAACGCUGGCGGCAUGCCUAACACAUGCAAGUCGAACGAGACCUUCGGGUCUAGUGGCGCACGGGUGCGUCACGCGUGGGAACCUGCACUUAGGUUCGGAAUAACUCUCCGACAGGGGUGCUAAUACCGGAUAAUGUCUUCGGACCAAAGAUUUAUCGCCGUUGGUUGGGCCCGCGUUGGAUUAGCUAGUUGGUAGGGUAAAAGCCUACUAAGGCGACGAUCCAUAGCUGGUCUGAGAGGAUGAUCAGCCACACUGGGACUGAGACACGGCCCAGACUCCUACGGGAGGCAGCAGUGGGGAAUAGUGGACAAUGGGCGAAAGCCUGAUCCUGCUAUGCCGCGUGAGUGAUGAAGGCCUUAGGGUUGUAAAGCUCUUUUACCCGGGAUGAUAAUGACAGUACCGGGAGAAUAAGCUCCGGCUAACUCCGUG